CCAUCUCACAGGUAGAGUGGAUGUGUUUAGCUGAAGCAAACAAACUCGACGUUGCCUCAAGAUAGGACGGGUUGGCUCUGUAAUUUUAAUGCACGUUUCGCAAUUUUUAUUGACAAGUUGUUUACCUCAACUCAAGUUCGGCCAGAUAAUAGCAUUUCUGUUUGGUUUGGAUUUGUUUCCCGUACAUUUGUUUGUUUCGUUUCAAGAUAAGCUCGGGCGUAUCAGCCAGUUGUUAUUCUCUUGAUAGGAUUGCUCACUGCGUAUCGCACCACAGUUUGAGCCAUAAUUGCAUUUCAAAUAAAUGUAAUUUGGCUUAUUUCUUCAACGCAGCAAGCAAGGAAAAGACGAACAAAUUUCCACGGUCAUUUUCUUCGUUUGUUACAGCAACAGCUGAAGUGGCGAGAAAAUGAAUAUGUUUCCUUGGCUUUUUUUUUAUAAUGUGGUUUCAUUGAAUCCGCCAUCUUCUAAAUCGACAACAGGGUGAUCGGUGUGUCCCAGGAACCGAGCCUCGCCACCGCCCCGGUGUAGAAAAUGUCCCCGUCAUCCCGUGAUUGGCCCAUUCCAGGCAUGGGGCAGAGUGGUGAGCCCCGGAUCACAGCCCAUCUGGUGUUUAGACCCGACUACUGCUUUCGUUUCGCAUUACGGCUUAUUUGGAAAAGUAUGGCAACAAAGCAUGAGGUAUUUUCUGGCGCACAACUGACAAGAAAGAAAAAGCCUUUCUUCAUUUGGUCGCAAAAUUUUUAGGCAAGAGAUUCCUACAGUAAUUUCCGUUCAUUGGCCUGUCUGAAAAAUGCUGUUUAUGUCUUGUCAGACAAAAAUGAAGCAUGGUACUCAAAAGGGCAGUUUUCUUCUCUGAGUAAACAUCCAGCAUAAGCAAUGAAAAAAGGUUUCAAAUCAGGCUUCAUCUCCGCUCAGUGACUUGGACGAUGAAGAAUGCAUUGUUGGGAAUACUCUUGGUCUGAGGAGAAGGAUGGUGAAUUUGGGUAUUUGCUGAUAGGGAUUGGUGUUUCAAACGAUGGAGAUACUUGGGAACCCAAGAAAAUCUUCAUUGUAAUAAUUUCAUUGCAGCAUUCUGAAUCAAAUUUCUACCGUUGAAUGAGAAUCCUGAAAACAAGCUAAGUCAAGAGAAGAAAAUUGUGAAGAAAGAAGAACUAAAGCACAGUUUUCUACAUGUCUUAAUGGAUGCCCAGUCUUACAGCAGGAUUUGAUAGAAAUGUAGAGGUGGAGACAAUUUUUGGAGUGAGCGAUGACGGUGAAGAAACUAUAUAGGUAGUUGUAGGGAUGUGUAAGGAAUGGUGGUUGUAGAGCAGGAGAGUCAUUCUUUUAUACAAACCAUUUCCAUUUUUAUUAUAAAUAGUCUUUUUAGCCGCUGAAUGUUGCUGGGACAUGAAAUAUUGGAAUUGUAGUGUCGACA